rnacentral:rRNA from 1 species
UACGAAGGGGGCUAGCGUUGUUCGGAAUUACUGGGCGUAAAGCGUGCGCAGGCGGCUUUCCAAGUCAGUGGUGAAAGCCCGGAGCUCAACUCCGGAAAUGCCAUUGAAACUGUGAAGCUUGAGAACGAGAGAGGUGAGUGGAAUUCCCAGUGUAGAGGUGAAAUUCGUAGAUAUUGGGAAGAACAUCAGUGGCGAAGGCGGCUCACUGGCUCGUAACUGACGCUCAUGCACGACAGCGUGGGGAUCAAACAGG